UGAUGAAUGAAGGGCAUGUGCAUUUUCAUCUCGGACAUUAGGUUGUUUUUUCCGCCAACAGGAAGCCCUUUCCAGGGCGUUUCUUUGGUCUACUUUGGAAAAAUAUUCUGUCAAUCGUAUUUUCCUUGGUGUCAUUAACGUCAAAUAAUCAUGACAUUCAUGUCAUUAUCUCUAAAGCCAAAUGAGAAAACACAACUUGACAUCUAACGGUCAUGUGGAUGGUGAGAUAAUAUUACCUUCUUUAUCUCCCACACAAAGGACACCCGAUGUGACCGUAGCUUCAUGAGGGUAUGUUACAUCAUUAGGCGAGACUGAUGUAUAGUCCUAGCUAGCUGAAUUAUAUGAUUCAACAAGAUUGGUCAGUACUUAUUUAAAUUGCGUAAUAAGUGACUACCUUCGUGCAAACACAGUGCAUACGGGACGUGGAUCAAUUUACCAACCAUGAUAAUCUCGUGUGGGUUUAUUUAUCUCCCUAUCUUCGAGAACAUUUGUGAUAUCACAUAGAGACUGGGGACGGGAUGACUUCCCAUUGACUUGUUGGUUAGCCGAACCAUCUGACUUGUUAUUGCGAUAAGCCACCCGCCUACGAGCGUUGAUAAGAUCCCUAUGAUCUAAUAAGCAACAUAGUAUGAGCAUCAUAUCAUCUAUAAUCAGGGAUAUAGAUUAAUACAACGAAUCAUGUGCAUACUAUACGUAUGCACAUCAAACUAAGAGCAGCCAUCAAGCUCACUAGAUUUUGCAAGUACCGGCUGAUUCUCAUCUUGUAAGCUGACAAUAUCCUCAUUAUUUUUCUUCCGAUAAGCUGCACGCCUCCUUGCAUUGUACUGCUCCCUUGCUUCCUCAGCGUAUUUUUUGCAUUCAUUAUUUAGAGAAACAGUUUCAAGCAGUUCGGAAGCUGUGUCGUCUGCAUCAUGUUAUAAGUACAAAUCAAAAAACAAAUAAAACACACUGAAGCACUGCCGAAUACGCCGGUUGGGAAGGUGGAUAUCAUGCCUAUGGUUACCUUCAGUAUCAUCUCGCAGCUGCAUCUUAUUAAUAGCAUGAUCUAGUGUUAGAUUAGCCGUAGCCGCAAAUGUUUGACCAUCAGCAUGGUAUCCAGGCCUUACCCAUUCUGAUCCAUCUGUAGGGUUUUAGCCAGCAUGAAUACAAAACCAAUGUUUGCCUGGUAGGCAGGCAACCAACAAAUACAUCUUCAAUCAAUCAUGUACCUGUUUCCGUCGUGUAAAUUGGGUCAAGAUUUGCAGCUACGGUUUAGAUGCUUGGAUUAUAUUCUUUCAGAUUUGUCUCGCUCGUAGAGGCUGCAACACAUUAAGCAUGGUCCAUGUCAUUGUCAGAUAUGCACGUCAGGCAAUACCUCACAGUAAUUUUCACACAGUUAUAUACCGGGUUCUGUUGCGCAAAUAGCUUCAUCUUUUUCAGUAUCAAAGGUUGCACUAUAUUCUUCAACAUUUUUACCACUCGCCUGACCUGCAACACAUUAUGCAAAAAGAUUGUUACUGUCAGAAAUGCAAGUAUUCCUGAUGCAGUGCCUAAUACCUGUAGCUACGUCCUCUUCUUGUUGAUGUUCACCGGCUUUGCUUUUUGCAUUACCCAUACGCAAAUGGAAUGACCGUUACCUCCGACUUGUGUCUGGCUGUGGUGUUCUUGAGGCCUGGAAGAAACAUAGUUGAUGGCCACAAUUGUUGUUCAUUGAAAGCAAUAUAAUUCUGGUAAUCAAUAGCUCCUUUGUAAUUAAUCAUAAACUUUAAGCAUAAUUGCUUGUGGACCAACUCAUCUGUAGGGUGCAUUCUCAUAUGCUGGGGCUUGUUGAGAGGCCCUAUAGCUCAAGAGUUCCAGUUCAAGUCCAGCAUUCAGGACUUUAUCAUCUGCAUAGAGGUGGUGACAUGUUCCUGAUUAUAUUAUUUCAAUUCCUUGCAUGAUGCUGAUAAAUCCUUGUUUAAGCAUGCUUGCAUUCUCAGUUUUGCAAAUAUUUGUAGAUCUAGAAAUAGGCCUCAGCCCUAACAUGAGGCCCUCCCAAGUAAUAUAUAUUUGUAGAUCAAUAUGCCUCAGCCCUGUCCCAUUUUCCAGAUGGGUUUUGAAAAUGAAACAAAGUAACCGAAGUUAUUUUCUCAUUAAGAUAUUACUUUCUCAUCUUAUUUCUAGUUAUUAAAACUGGUGUUGUUUUCUUUAAUUUCGAAACAUGCAGAUUAUCGUGUCUUCAUCCCUGCGAAGUGACAUUCUUUCCCAGUAAUCUGUGCAUGUGAAAAUUAUUUCCAAAUGCGAUUCUACCUGGUAGUUUUCAUAUUUCCAAUGGCCCGUCAAGUGUGCAUUUUCACGAGCUUCAGCAAACCCUUUUUCAGUCAUCUGGUCCAUGUACAUACCAAGUGCUUGUUGAAAUAAAAAUGCAAUUGGCUGCCAAUUUUAUCUUGCGUGUAUCACUGGAUAAUUUUGUAUAGUUAGUUUUAAUUUUGUAUACCACGAUCUUCAGGACUGCUAAGCCUGAAAGGCAGUGACCAGAUCACCUAACCAAUAGCAUUGCUCCGCGUUCUGCAGUGCUACGAGCUGUGACUGAAAGAUUCCGCAGUGUUAGGAUUGGAGUGCAUUGAUUUUGCAACAUUUAAAAAGCAGCAGUGAUUUAUGUGAAAAUUUUAACAUUGUGGUGAUUAAUUAUCUUUAGUCCACAUGUGACCGGUCAUGUUUUUCUUUCCUUCUAGCCACCUAUGGCCUGUGAAAUCCAAAUGCAAUGAAAAUUAUGGAAAAUGCAUGUAUUAACAGAAGAAUUGUCGAAUUAUAUGGAGGACUAAACUAAAUUUGACUUCACAGCUAAUGAAGUUCUGUUUCCUUUUGAUUGCAAAUAUAGGUGCUAUCAUGGCAGCAAGCACAGGGGCUUCAGGAUGGCUAAGGGGCAAGGUGAAGGCUAUGACAUCUGGAGACUGCCUUCUCAUCAUGGGGAGCACAAAGGCAGAGAUUCCACCAGAGAAGUCCAUCACUCUGUCAUACCUUAUGGCCCCAUAAGAGUCAGUCUGCACUUUUAGACAAGGGGAAUAUGGUUUACAUUUUUACUUGUUGCAUGUGUUCAUUUCCUCCAUUAAUUUAGAGUAAGUCACUGGUUUAGUGUGUUGUCAGGGGCAGAGCUAGAUAUAGGCCUGAUCAUCUAGGGAUGUAAUAUAUUAGUCAUUUUGGAUCUAGAGCCUGAGUUGAAGCCUUGAUUGCGCAGGGUCUGCUUCCACCCUUGUCUAUAGUGAAUUAUGUUUACAUGCUACACUUGUGAGCCAAUGGAAGUUAGUAUUUGGCACAAGAAUUUCUCUCCAUCAUUGCAUUUUCAUUCCCACAGUUUGACUGUGUUCUGUUUGUAUAAUUUGAGACUUAUGAAUGCAUCUAUAAUAAAUUGUUGAUAUUAUUUGUGCAGUACAUUUGUUCUUUUCUCCAUCUUUUCUUGUCUGUUGAAUCCGUAUAUUUGUGGUGCUCUAGGCUCGUCGUGGUGGAGUGGAUGAGCCAUUUGCUUGGGAAAGCAGGGAGUAUCUGAGGAAACUCUGCGUAGGAAAGGUACAUGAUGUGUCUUUUUUUAUCUAUUCCAAAUCCUCCUAUGCAUGUAUUAAUACUGAAUGUAAUCACAGAAAAACCACUUAUAUUUUCUCUUGGAAAUGAAAAACUAAAAUCUAUUGCAGGAGGUCACAUUUAGAGUGGAUUACACUGCUCCUAACAUCGGACGAGUAUUUGGCACUGUCUACCUUGGCGACAAGAACGUUGCCUACUUGGUGGUUGCUGCAGGAUGGGCAAGGGUGAUUACCAUUUACUUUUUCCUCAAUUGUUUUGUUGUGCCAAAUGUCCAAAAGGGGGGUGAACCACUCCCAAAUGUCCAAAAGGGGGGUGAACCACUCCCACGCGUAAUAUUUAUUUGAUCAGGUGAAGGAGCAAGGCCCCAAGGGGGGUGAACCACUCCCAAAUGUCUCUGAGCUUCUGAGGUUCUAGGAAGUUGCUAAGCAACUUCCUUUAGGCCGUUGGAGCAAGGUUUGCUUUCUUUUGGGGUACCUGCUGUCCUGCAACCAUCUUUUGAAUUGCAUGACACAAAUGUUCAAUCGAUAAAAGAUCUUAUUUUCUGUGUUCUUAUUUUGUGUUCUUAUUUUCUGCCAACUUAGGAACCUGGUGCUGCCGAAGAUUCGAUAAAAGAUCUUCCACCUUCAGCAAUUGGCGAACUAAGUGGUUUUGAUGCAAAGGGUUUUGCAGUUGCAAAUAAAGGCAAGAGUCUCGAAGCCACUCGUGUUUACUUGCUUCCUAGUUUCCAUGGCCCUUUAUUCUGUUAGAAAGUAAAUAUUUAUUCUGUUAGAAAGUAAAUAUUGAGAAUGAUGAAAUGCAGGCUCCGUCCAUGGGGAGACGUCCUGUGAUGCCUGUGAUGCCUAUAAUGUAUGUGAUGGAUGUACAUUAUUAUACGUGGUGCCUGUGAUGGAUGUAGAUUUCAUGGGGUGGGUGUAUGAAAUGCGAUGGAUGUAAAUUUCAGAUUCGACCUAAAUCUCUAUUCAUAUGAUGGCUAGCGGCGGAUCUGUGAUACCUGGAGUGAGUGUAUCUGGCGGCGGAUCCUGGACGACUUCGGCGGUGGCUCGUCACGUCCUGGACGUCUCCGGCGACAGGUCCUGAAAGGGAUCGGUGCCGGAUCCUGGAAGCGAUCAAUGGAGGGUCCUGCACGGGACCAGCGCCGAAUCUAAUGGAUGUGCGAGUUACGCGCCGGCGGUUUUGAUGUGCCAGGGCGGCAGUGCAUGGAUGGAUGGGUGGCGGUGAAGGACCGAAGGGCGGCGGUGGGCGAAGGAGGGCAGUGUCGGGGCGACUGUUCCUCGCAAGAGGGACACGAGACCUCGCUCGAGGACGCACUGUCGGGCGUUUUUUUUUCGCUGGUUAAUUUUCAUCGGUUUGUGCUCGGUGGUUUAUUUUUGAUUGUCUCAGUUAAUUACGACGGGAGGUUGGGCGUCUGCGGGACUCGAUCGCGGGGUUUUCAUUGGUUUUUUGCGGCUGAGCGAGAGGUGGGAGCAAGUUCCAAAGAAGUACCAAAAAAGACCGUAUUAGGUGGGACGAAAAUAAAACCCGAAACGCGGACUACCAACUGAGACAUUAGGAGUAGAGAUAUUUUGGACCUGGCUACCUGGCGCACGAGCGUCCUCCCCGACAGGAAAGCCCUACCGCGCGCCGGCGUCAGGACAGCCCAGAAAAGGAAAAACCUUCUGCGCGCCAGUUUCCACCUGCAUUUAUUAGGAGAUCAAAAACUUUAAAAACUUGUAACUUUUGAUUAGAAUCUCAAAAUUCAAAUCCGUUUCCACCGAUGGGUUUCUCGCGACGAGUUGUUCAAAACUAGAUCCCAUAUGAGUAGGUUUCGACGAACUUUUUUUUCCGAGCAACUUUGUGUGCUACAGAGGCAACUUUAGUGGUAUAGAAAAGCAACUCCUUUUUUCCGGUAUGACUACCUAUCAACGGAGGAUACUUAUAAGUUGGUUACCAUGACUAUCAAUUAACUAGUUUCACCUCUAAAUGGCCUAACAUAAAGACAACUCCAACGUGGAUCACCAAAACGCCCCAAAUAUAGGAAUCGGCCUCUCUAGACACUUUUAAUCAUCCAAGGAGUCCAACUACUAUCAGACAUGUAAAAAAGGUCUGCUGCCCCAUAUGAGUUCCUUGUAGUAACACGGAAGGACCAAACGCAUAGCUCUCGGCUGUUUCCGAAAACGGCAAGCACAGCCAGCGCAUUGACUGAAAAGUGUUGCGUGCGAAUACAAAAAUCUGGCAAAACUACCAUCCCACGUCCACACACAAAAAUGUCAGGUCCCAUGUGCUCACACUAUCCAUCCCAUCUACAUUUAUUAGGGGAUCAAAAACUUUAAAAACUUAAAACUUUUGAAUCGAGUGUUAAAUUUCAAAUCCGUUUUCAUCAUUGGGUUUCUUGUGGCGAGUUCUUCAAAACCAGAUCUCAUAUGAGUAGGUUUCGACGAACUUUUUUCUCGAGCAACUUUGUGUGCUACAGAAGCAACUUUAGUGCUAUAAAAAGCAAAUCUCGUUUUCCCCUAUUAUGACUACCUAUUAGCAGAUGAUCCUUCCAAGUUGGUUACCAUGACUACCAAUUGACUAGCUUCACCUCUAAGUCACCUACCAUAAGGACAACUUCAACGCAGAUCACCAAAUCGCCCAAAAAUAUCAGGAUAGACCUUUUUAGACACUUUUAACCAUCCAAUGGUAGUUGCCUAAUUUAUUUUAACAAGUCCUUACGUCUGAAAUCCUCCAAGCCGAACGAGGAGGGGCAUACUCAGGGCCCCUCAGCAUCCAUUGCUCUCUUCGACAUCAAGCCGGAUCCCAUCUCCUCAGACGACAAGAGGAGCAAAAUCCGCCCCUCCUAGUCGAGGCCCACACAAUGGACAAAGAGUCCGCACUAUAAAUGGAGAUGCCAACCCAACAGUCAACCUCCGACCACUGUCUAACGAUGCCCUCUUCGUCGCUCCCGAGCUAACACGACGUCCAAAAGUAGAUGCCGCCUAAAGGAGGAGACGACGUCCCCAUCACACUAACCAUUUCUGUUGUAACAAGGAGGUAGCAACAACAACUUCGAAUAUUGAUAAACGCAACCACAUAUAGAAAAGACUAAGUUCACCCAAUUGAGCCCAAUGGGGGUAGAAAAAAAACAACUAUGUGACUUAUACGCAUUGGAGUUGUAUUUAAAAAAGCCAGCAACUUUUGUGGUGUUUUUGUGCAACUCCUAUGCAUUCACCAGACAAACUCGUGUGUAGUCCGAGUCUGACUUGGUAUCUAGAUAAAGCGGCCACAUAUAGAAAAGGGUAAGUUCACCAAGAACCUCGUGUGUAGUCCAAGCCUCUACGGUUGCACCAAGGAUCCCACCCCGAGGAGAGGAAAAUCUUGACUGUACCUCUAUGACCCAAACAUAAUUACAGGUAUCUAAAACCUUUAGGUAUUUACCAAAUAAUGGUCUUGGUAAAUGUUUCUGUUCAUGAGGAUUGGGCAACUGGAUAUAAGGUUUUAGGCAAACUAAUUGUUGAUUGUAGGCAACUGGAUACUUGGUUUUAGGCAAUUACAUUGUUGAUUGUGGACAACUAUGACUGAAAAAGGGGUAAAGAACAUACACAUAUUCAUUUUUGGAGGGUUCACAGAUAAAUUUAAUCCUCUAAAAACACUUCACGGUUUUUGUUACGUCCCCAUGACCAACUCCACCCUGCUCCCCCUCUAUAAUUAUUCGCCAAGUAUUUACGAUCAUACGAAGGGAUCCCACCCCAAGGAGAUAAAUUCUUGAUGCAUCUCUAUGACAUAAACUUGAAAGGUAUCUAAAACCUUUACAUAUUAGCCAAAUUAUGGUUUUGGUAAUUUUUUCGUGCAUAAGGAUUGGAUAACUGGAUACAUAGUGUUAGACAACUGUAUAAUUGAUUGUGGGCAACUGGAUAUAUGGUUUUAGACAACUGUACGGUUAAUUGUGGGCAACUGGAUACAUGAUUUUAGGCAACAUUAUGGUUGAUUGUAGGCAACUAUGACACCUAAAAAAGGGAUAAAGAACAUACAUAUGUUCAUUUUUGGAGCGGGUCACAAAUAAACCUAAUCCACUAAAAACACUUUGUGGUUUUAGUUAUGUCCCCAUGACCAGCUCCACGCCGCUCCCCCUCUAUGAUCAUCCACCUAGUAUUUACGAUCAUACAAAUGGAUCCAACCCCGAGGAGAUGAAAUUCUUGAUGUGUCUCUAUGACACAAUCUUAAUUGAAAGGUAUCUAAAACCUUUACAUAUAAGCCAAAUUAUGGUCUUGGUAAUAUUUCUGUUCAUGAGAAUUGGGCAAUUGGGUACAUGGUUUUAGACAACUAUAUAGCUGAUUGUGGGCAACUAUGACACCUUUACACGCAAAAAAAACUAUGACACCCGAAAAGGGAUAAAGAACAUACACAUGUUUGCUUUUUAGGGGUUCACAAAUAAACUUAAUCUCAUAAAAAACUCCAUGGUUUUACUUAUGUCCCCAUGACUAGCUCCACCCCACCACCCUCUAUGAUCAUUCGCCAAGUGUUUACGAUCAUACCAAGGGAUCCCACCCGAAGAGAAGAAAUUCUUGACACACCACUAUGACACAAACUUGAAUGAAAGGUAUCUAGAACCUUUAGAUGUUGACCAUCGUGAUCUUGGUAAUGUUUUUGUUCAUGUGGAUUGGGCAAUGGGAUACAUGCUUUUAGGCAAUUGUAUGGUUAAUUGUGGGCAACUAGGUUAUCUUUCAUGUAUUGUGCAUACAAAGGGAUGCAAACUAUAUAGGGCAACUGAGAGUAUUCAGUCUAGCACAAGUUAACUAGGAAAUAAAAAAAGGAAAAAAAACAUAGCAGCUCUAAGUGUUUCUGACCAGAACAAAAGAAAGCAACUAUGAGCUAAUUUAUGUGCAACUCAUGUGUAUUUCCCAAACAACUUAACUGCCGGAAAAAAGCACACAGACAAAAGAAGACAUGAUCUUGUUACCCCCUCCCCUGCCAACUCCUUCGCUCCAUCGUGAUCUUGUCAAUGAUGAAAUAAGCUUCAUGAACACUGAUGGUUUUUUGCUCGAAGUAUAUCCAUGGUACUGGGCCGGCCUAAUGUACCAAACUGAAUAGCGCCGUGUACAAAAAAAUAAGAGCACAAUAGUUGCAGCUUAAAAAUCCAUGGAACAUGACACGCAAUCAAUUCAUAGAAACAAUCAUAUGCGUUCUAUGCUAAUGGCUUAACACAUGGCCUGUGUGGCCUUGUACAGACCACUCACUGUUUUAUGCCAAAAGCUUAACAUCAACUGGAUGUUUUUGUCCUGACGCUCCCAGAAGAGCAACGAAUUUGCCCAAAAGAGCAACGAAUUUGCGCAAAACAAUGCAUCAGUCUAUGCCAAGUAGCAUGCAUCACACACAUAUCCUACCAACACAAGGGGCUCAAUCUCAAUUGCAAGCAGCAGAAUGAGAAUUGGAGGAUGGCAUUACCGUGAGGUGACUUGUCAUUCGCUGCCUGGGUCGAACAGCUCCACGCCAGAGGCUAUCUCACGAAGUUGUCUUUGCUGCUGAUGCGCGUAACAGCGGCGGAGCGACCCUUGGUGCCGGCGGACCACACGGCUGUACCGCGGCCAGCUGACCUGAGCAGAAGGUCGCCCUCCGGCGUGAGCUCCGUUGCGGCCCUUCCUCGACGGGGUUGCGGGGCCGGGGGCCGCUGGGUGGACGGGGGACGGGAGUGCUGCUGCUCCGGCUCCCCGGCCGACCUGAUCGCCGAGCUCCUCCGGUGCACUGCCUCCUCCACGACCGCCAGGUCGUCGACGGCGGCGCUCCUAUGCUUCGCCUGAGCACUGGUCGGACUAAAUGUAGACGAGGAAAAGGGGAUUGGAUUGGGAUAAGGCUUUUUUCUCGAGAAGGAAGAGAGUGAAGCGGUUGGUUUCUAGCGGCCUUGUCGGGUAGCGCGUGCGCUCAGCGCGACCGAAUCGCGCAGCUGCACGAUUAAGCAUUUAGGAUAUAUUUUUAACAAAAGAUAAAAUCAUCUAGCGGGACGAAACCAAGAAGUAGGUAGGUAUAGAUAUAGAUAAAAUAACGAAUUUGAAGGAAACAAAUAACAGAAUUUAAGGAAAAAUCCGCGCAUCUAUAUCU
rnacentral:lncRNA from 1 species